rnacentral:snRNA from 1 species
AUACCUUUCUCGGCCUUUUGGCUAAGAUCAAGUGUAGUAUCUGUUCUUAUCAGUUUAAUAUCUGAUACGUGGGCCAUCGGCCCACUCGAUAUUAAUCUAAUUUUUUAAAAUCUGGAAUUGAGUGGGGACUGUUGGCUUUUCAAACAAGUUGAGCUAUUGUUUUUUAAAUGUUAAAAUUGAAGACGU